UCCGGUUUGUCACCGGCAGUCUCUGCAGAGUCCUCGGCUUUACCCGUUAGCAACAGCAGAUAAGGGUUGCGCUCGUUGCGGGACUUAACCCAACAUCUCACGACACGAGCUGACGACAGCCAUGCACCACCUGUGAUGGAGCCCGAAGGGGGCCGUGUUUCCACGGCUUUCUCCAACAUGUCAAGCCCAGGUAAGGUUCUUCGCGUUGCGUCGAAUUAAACCACAUGCUCCGCUGCUUGUGCGGGUCCCCGUCAAUUCCUUUGAGUUUUAAUCUUGCGACCGUACUCCCCAGGCGGAAUGCUUAAUGCGUUAGCUGCGCCACCGACGGGCAAGCCCGCCAACGGCUGGCAUUCAUCGUUUACGGCGUGGACUAC
rnacentral:misc_RNA from 1 species